UUUUUUUUUUUUUUUUUUGAGACAGGGUUUUUCUGUAUAGCCCUGGCUGUCCUGGAACUCACUUUGUAGACCAGGCUGGCCUCGAACUCAGAAAUUCGCCUGCCUCUGCCUCCCGAGUGCUAGGAUUAAAGGCGUGUGCCACCACCGCCCAGCUCAGAGUUUCCUUUUUAGCAUUAUAAUAAACAUGACCAAAAGCAACCUGGGGUAGGAAAGGGUUUAUUUCAUCCUACAGUUUACAAUCCAUCCUGAAGGGAAGAUGGAGCAGAAACUCAAAGGAGGAACUCCUAGAGUCAGGAACUGAUGUAGAGACCAUGAAGAAACCAGCUUACCUCUCCUGUCUUGCUCAGAUAACUUUUUAUUUUAUUUUUUAUUAUUUUUUCUUUCUUUACUAUAUGUAAGUACACUGUAGCUGUCUUCAGUCACUCCAGAAGAGGGCAUCAGAUUUUGUUAGGGAUGGUUGUGAGCCACCAUGUGGUUGCUGGGAUUUGAACUCAGGACCUUCGGAAGAGCAGUUGGCGCUCUUAACCACUGAGCCAUCUCACCAGCCCCAGAUAAAAUUUUAAUACAACCUAGACUCACCUAUCCAAAGGUGGUAGCAUACACAGUGGGCUAGACCCUUCCAUAUUGAUCACUAAUCAGAAAUUACUUGACUACAGACCAGUCUUACGGAGGCAAUUUAUAAUUGACAUUUCCAUUCACAACAUAAUGGUAGCUUGUGUCAAUUGGAAAAAAAAAACAAAAUCUUAACCAGAACAAUGAAUAAAUUAGAGACCUACUUGGAAAAUGAAAAUAUAACUAAGUAUCCAUGGUACAUUGAGCCUUUUUGGAUAUCAGAUUUCAUGUAUGUUCAAGGCGAAGGACUUGAGUAAAAACUUCUCCAAAGAAAUGUUUGGCAUGCAAAUAGCUAAUAGGCAUUUGAAAAGAUACCCAACAUCAUUAGUCCUGUGAGAGGCAUAAAUCAGAUGUGCUAGAGGUUAACAACCAAUCCACUAGGAUGGCAAAAGUAGACAGGCAACAAUGUUGAAAAUUAUUUGUACUAAUUAGAAUGCUCACACACUGUCAGUGAGAAUAGGAAAUGGUAAUGGCACUUUUGGAAAAGAUUGGCCAUUUCUCCCAAAGAUAAAUACAGUGUUGCCAACAUGAAUCUACAAAAACAUUCUUCACAGAGUGUUAUUCACGUUAGCAUAAGAACAGAAACAACUCAUCAUUUAAAGUAAUGAAUGAAUGAAUAAGAUAUGCACAUCAUACAGUCCUGUGCUAAUUCAUUAGGAAUAAAGUACAUGCCACAGUGUUGAUAAAACUUGCAGUGUACUAACUAAAUGUGAUCACAUAAAAAGACAACAUACCACAGCCAUUCUUUUGAGUAUAAAGUGAGUAGAAUAGAACUUGUGAAGGUUGUAGCUUGUAGCUAGAGGUUAACAGGGUGACUUGAGUUUGAUUGCUAAUACCUAUGGAGACAGAAUAAAAAUGUGAAAUCAAAUUGUGGUGAUAUUGGUACCACAUUGAAUACUACAGACCACACAGCACUUUAACGUGCAGACUGUAUGUAGAUAAAUUACAUCUCAAAGCUUUUAGUUUCAAAAGUGAGUGUACUUAAUUUUUCUUUGAACGGUACAUUUUAGUGUUCAUUUUCUUAAAAGGAGGAAUUAUUUGUGUGCACAGUAGAUUUCACUUUUCGAUGCCUUACUAGUGUUGCUGGACUUAAGAUCUUUGCUGACUUUUAUAUCUACCUCACUUCAGUUUCCCUUGAUUGCUUCUCUUCUCCAUCCUAUUACUUAUUACUCCAAGGUGGGCUGUGUGCUUUGAGUUUAGAGUUACUUACGUUCCACCUGCUGCUGCUCUUGCUUGAUGCUGUGUUUGUUUGUUGUUUAUGGAAACAAAGUAUUAUUCUAGGUAGCCCAGGAUAGUCUCAAACUCAGCUUCUCUUGCUCCAGCUCCCUGGGUUUUGGGGUUACAGAUGUGCUCCAGGAUGCUACACUCUGUUUCUUGUGUUUUCUGCUGACAUUAUAAUCAUGUUAUCAUGCACAAAGCCUUUUGUUUCACAACCUGCAUUCAGCACUGCUCUCUGUGUUUUAUAGCACAGCCCUGGUAACUUUUAGUGUGCUGAGGGUGGCUGAACUUAGUGCUCUGUGCUUGAACUCUGGAGGCUGAUAGACUGUCUCGUUGUCUUACAGGUUCUACUUCCCUCAUUGGUACUGUAGUGGCAGCAGCAGAACCUACAGAUACGGAGUGUCCCGUGGGGCUGAAGCUCCUCUGCUUGAUGACUUUGUCAUGUCUUACCUUUUUGCUCAGGUAUAAUUAUAAUAUAGUUAACAUUAAUCCUCUUUAUGUGUGUAUUAAACCAGAAAUUUCUUCCUAUUUAGUAUGCAUCUUAAGUAGAGUAACUUUCACGUGGGAAAAUGCAGCUCUCCCUGAGGCACCAGGUAUGAAGAGAUAAGGGGGUAGUCUGUGUGAUAAUCGGUUUCCAUCUCAUGAUUUACAGAUGUAUUUUAUAACGAUUCCAUGAAUUGACCCUUCCAAAGUCACUUUUUUUUUCUUUUAAAAUCUAAGUCAUUUUAAGGAUUUUUUUUUUAAGGUAGCAUAAAUUUAACAGCAGAAUUCAUGUGGCCAUUGGGUGGUAAAAUUCUAUAGAGUUUUUAAUAAAUAAAUUUUGGAUACUUUCGUGUUUACAUGGUAGGCAGUAAAAUGUAACAAGAUUCCUCUACAACAAACAGAGUGAGCUGUGAUAGUUGGUAGGCCCCUCAAGGGAGGCUGGCCACGUUUGAUGCUUAGAGUGGGAGCUGUGUUCAGCUAUUUGUCCACUAGUACUAUAAUGAUACACUUCUGUAGUGUUAUUUGAACACCUCGUAAUGCAUUCUUUUCUAUUAUCUUUAACUUAACAGUAAUUGAAAUAUUUUCUUUUUAAACUAUUUUGUUUUCAUGGGCUACUACUUUUAACUGUCCUAUCAGGGAAAAAAACAUGGUGAGACAAAUUUAUUGAAAAAUGAAACAAAAAAACCCAAAAAUGAAACAAAGUGAAAAACAAAACAAAAACUUCUAUUGCAUCAUUAUGAGUGUCUAGCCAUACAAGAAUACUUUCUGCCUGGUCCCAGGCAAGCUACCCCUGCCAGUCUUUCUGAGGUGCCUGUGCUCUCUCUUUGCCUCAUUCCUUCUAUGUCUUUGCUCUGCUUUGCACCUGUCCCAAUGCCUUCAUCAUUAAAGAAAAUUAGGUUUCAAAUUUUGCGUGAAACCUUUUAAUUAUGCCAAUUGUAUACGAUUUCAACACUCUCUAGGUUCCUAAAGUGUCUGCUGCGUGGUACUUCACGUUCUAUUAGCUGACAUAGUAGUGAUCUGCUUCUGUGUUUAGCUUCCAAGAAAACAAGUCUGGUCUUUCUGAUGGAUUAAGACCACCUUCUAUGUUUCUUUAUAGACCACACAAACUCUAGUACAAUGCCUUCAAUAUGAAGUCCGUGUACAUUUGAUUAAUUAACAUUUAUUUUGGUUUAGGCAUUUUUAAAAUGAUUUUAAGAUAAAGCUUUACGGCUGGGCAGUGGUGGUGCAUUCCUUUAAUCCCAGCAGUUCGGAGGCAGAGGCAAGUGGAUCUCUGUGAGUUCUAGCCUGUGUAGCUAGCCUGGUCUACAGAGCAAGUUUGAGGACAGUCAGGACUACACAGAGAAACCCUGUCUGGAAAAACAAAC
rnacentral:lncRNA from 1 species